AUACUUACCUUGCUGAGAGCACGUCCUAGAUCAAGAAUUAGGGUGUUCAGUUGGGAGGGCCUGCAUUGCACAUCGCGGAGUCACUCCUUGCUCCAUUGUCCUUCGGGGCCAUGGGUGGCGCAAUUUUUGAUUUUACACAUUUUGUGCUU
rnacentral:snRNA from 12 species